UGCUGAUCACUUAUGAGAUUGAUUGAUAGAUACUUUAUCUGUAAAAUGACAGUAUGCGGCUUAAAGUCGAUAAAGUAUGUUAUUAACUAAUAAACUGAUAUAUUAUUAUUUAUAUUAUUAAGUCUUAGAUGAACUGAAACGAUGCUCAGUUGUAGUAUAAAGUGACCAUGAUGGUCUGAUCAACACAUAUUGAUCACUGAUGAUCACAGUACGUCAGUGUGUUUUACAGAUCAAUAAGGGAAUAUGGAUAAUAAUCGAUGCUGGUUGCAGUGAGUGUUUAAUGGCUGCUGUAAUAACAAACAAACCGAGCUGUUUAUCACGGAGCGACUGAAUGUGGCGGCAAACGGAACGAUAUCAGUUUCAAUCUGAUCAAUGUAAUCGAUGAGCAGCCGAUAACAGAGCGAGUGUGUGUGUGUGUAUUAAUUACAGCUGUGAGUGAAAACAUUUCAUUAAUUUUCAUGUUUUCUGUCUCUUACGCAGAAACGAGCGCUAUGGUUACACGCAUGCGCACUACAGGCUUUCCAAACAAACACGGAGGAGGGGGGGGGAGGAGAGGGAGGAGGGGGGAGGAGGAGAGGGAGGAGGGGGAGGACAACAAAAAGCUGCGGCUGCUCCUCCGGAGCCCGGGCUGAACACUUGGACCCAGCGGCUGUCAGUACCGGACCACAGCGGGUCAAACCGGGCCAGACUCAGUUAAGCCCACAGACCGGAGCCCGCCGCCGCCGUUAACGGCCAUUUUGCGCGGCCCGCUCUGUCUCCGCUCGGAGCGACAGCUGCUGUUUAGGCGCCACUUCUCAGACAAGAUGGCGGACACGCCCCUGCCACAGUGCUGCGAGUCCCGCACACACUUUCUCUUCUUUACAACGAGUUCAGCCGUUCUGUGCGCCAUUAAUCCGGUUCAACUGACGGCCGAAACCUUCCGCCGCGUGUCGGUGCCGUCGGUGCGGCUCUGCGGGGCCGCUUGCCCUUACCUUGACCGGUUAAGUUGCGGAGAGUCACGGUUUCUGUCCGUUUGUUUCGGGUCCUCCGCUCCGCUCCCUCCCCGCCUGCUCAGACAUCUUUACAGGGACCCGGGAUGAGUCACUGCGCAGGCGUAGCUGUUGCCCUUCUUCCUGUUCCGAGAUGUCCUGUACUGGCCGCCAUGUUGAGCAGGUCAACAGGAUGAAAAGUUACAUAUUUUAUCAAAAGUAAAUUUAUUUCCAAUAGUACUGUAAUUUAUUUCUAUUUUAAUGACUCAGUGAUCCAUAUCUGUCACAUCUGUAUUUAAAAGCAGUACAUUAAACUCUUACUCUACUCUUUCUGUUACUAUUAUAUCUUAUUUAUUUUGUUAUAACGUUAGUGAAUUUCCCUUGUGUGGGAUCAAUAAAGUCUAUAUUAUCUUAAUUUUCAUUUUGUUUGUGAAGGUAGCAUAAAGGGAUCUAUAAUAUCUAAACUUUAUUCUAAGAUAUAAUUAUACAUUUCUUAUAAAUAUUAACAAAACUUUAACUGAUCACUUAUUUUGAAAAUGAUGUCCGAUCUGUUAUCUGGACUUAUGUUUUAUUCAUAAAAUACAAAAUACUAAAAUACAUGGUAAAGUAAACUUAUUUCAGUAAUUCAAUUCAAAAAGUGAAAUUCAUAUAUAGAUUCAUUACACACAGUGAAACAUUUCAGGCCUUUAUUUCUUUUAAUUUUGAUGACUAUGGCUUACAGCUAACAAACCCAAAAUUCAGUAUCUCAGAAAAUUUGAAUAUUAGUAAUUCAAUUCAAUUCAAUUCAAUUUUAUUUGUAUAGCGCCAAUUCAUAACAGAAGUUAUCUCAGGACACUUUUCAAAUAGAGCAGGUCUAGACCGAACUCUUUAACAUUAAUUACAGAGACCCAACAGUACCACCAUGAGCAAGACCUUGGAGACAAGGGCAAGGAAACACUGCCUGUUAAAAGGCAGAAACCUAGGACAGAUCCUCCGGCUCUAGGUGGGUGGGAGAGAGAGAGAGAGAGAGAGAGAGAGAGAGAGAGAGAGAGAGAGAGAGAGAGAGAGAGAGAGAGAGAGAGAGAGACAGAGAGAGAGACAGAGACA